CUUAGUUUAUUUUUAGAGGUCACCGUACAGCAUUUUUAAACGGGAGAGGUAUGACACGGCCCCUCCUUCCCUGCCAUUGCCUCUUCGACAUUUUGUUUUUUUAAUCACUAUUAUUAAUACCAAAAAAGUUUUUAUGAAAUGGAACUGGUAAAAGGGGCAGAGAGAGGUCCUUUGUCAGCCUGUAUUGACAUGCCACUCCCAUUGUGUAAAUACCUACUUACCUCUUUAAAAUUCAGUUGCAUCUGUGGGAAAAUUUUGCGUGCUCGCUGGCAGUUCUCGCUUGCUUUGAUAGCCUUGUUGUCCAGACGUGUUCUGCAGAGGUUCGGGGCAUUCAUAAUACCAGGUUUGCUGUGGCUCUCCUGUAGCACAGUGUGGGCUCUCGGCCUAAGGCCCCAGUGACUAGCAUGCCCGCCUGUGGCCGGGUUCAGCUACAGGGGGCCACACU
rnacentral:lncRNA from 1 species